CCCAGCAGCCCGGAGCACCCCCACAGCAGGACUACACGAAGGCUUGGGAGGAGUACUACAAGAAGCAAGCGCAAGUGGCCACCGGAGGGGGUCCAGGAGCUCCCCCAGGCUCCCAGCCAGACUACAGUGCCGCCUGGGCGGAAUAUUACAGACAGCAGGCCGCUUACUACGGACAGACCCCAGGUCCUGGCGGCCCCCAGCCGCCGCCCACGCAGCAGGGACAGCAGCAGCCUUCCUGAACCUGCCUCUCUGAGGAUAAAGCAAUUCAUUUUCUCCCACCCUCGGCCCUCUUGUUUUUAAAAUAAACUUUUAAAAAGGAAAAAAAAAA
rnacentral:lncRNA from 1 species